GGUUUCUUUGAAGAGCAGUUUUCAGGCAGCAGAAUUGCCCCCCCAGGAGGGACUCUGUGCCUGCUCUCCCGUGGCUCCAAGGGAUCUCUGGCCCUUCACGCCGGCACCGAGAUUUUCUCGGGAAGGGCCUCAGAUCCCCGGACCAGUCUGGGACACAGCAAGAUCCCCCUGCAUUUUAGGACCAAAUUGUGCCCCCUGGAGGGACAGUGCUGUUGGUGCCCCCCGGGUUGGGGCACCCCGAGGACUCCAGCGCGCACCGAAAGGAUUAUUCGGGGAGAUCCUCGGGGUGCCCGGCCCUGGGGAGCUCAAAGCAAGGUCCCUGCAAUGGAUUCAGGAAUUGCUGAGAGUAUCCCAGGGGUACCUGUCCAUGCUAGACAUGGAGCUCUCCAAUGGACUGUAAUUGGGUGAUAAAAGUGGUGCUCCAAGUGCCAAAGCAGUGUAGGAUUGGGAUUAAGAAAUGAGCAGUGAUGGUCCAAUUGGCUGUUUUCUCUGGAAUGUAAUGGUAAGAGCUGCAGGAGUGCCAGGUGUGUGUUCCAGUCCCCAGCAUUUGGUUUGCACAUGUCCUGGUCAGACACAGGUCCAACUUCCUCAGUCCUUAACCCAAUAGAGGGAGAAUUAAGGACUGGCAGUGUUAAGGUGAUUGGUGUGACAGGGGUUAAACUGGGAAAACAUUGGGGAAUUCCUCACUUGGUCGAUUUGUCAAAUUCACCCAAACUUUUGCUGAGAAGAGAUUGAGUGGAAAAGUUGAGGCAGAAAUUAAAUUGGAAAGUGAGGAUAUUGAAACUGUAGUUGCUGUAACUAAAUAUGUCAAAGCAGCAGCUCUUGUUGUGCAGGGAAUAACUCCUGUCAGCAGCAAGGUCCCGACUGAAGUGGCAGCUGCAGUUGUUCCUGUGGUGUGGGCCAGUGGAAUUGCAGGAGAGUGGAAGAGGGCAGAACCUGAGGUGAAUGCAAGAACCUGCCAAGAAAACCAAUGUCCAAGAUGAUUGAUGAGUGCAGGACCUGAGAGAAGCACCUUGAAUGACAACCUCGAGUAGUUUCCAGUAUUGGAUUUAAAAGAUGGCCUUUGCUGCAUCUACUUGAGCAAGGAAAGCCAAGAAACCUUUGCUUUGGAAGGAGAAAAUGGGGAAAGCAGGAAGGAAGCAAAGCAGCCCCCUGACUCCUCCCUGAGCCCCAGACAGCCCAUGAACUGCCUUGCUGGGAAUGGUAGGAUGGGGUGGACUCUGGAUUGCUCCCUCUGGAUGUGUGUGGGAUGUAACCUGGAAAGUGCACAGAACUGAGCCAAGGGAGUGAAAGGGACUAACUAAAGGAGGUGAAGAAAGAAGGAAGAAGGGAAGUGAGGCAGCAGGCAAGCAGCACCAAGUUGCUGUGUAAGCAGGGACAGUGAGCUGGUCCAACUGUGGCAAGAAGAGCAAGUGGGCUGUGAAGGUUUGGAGCAGUCUGCAAGGUUCCUCAUGCCCAAAGGAAGUGCAGCCCUGGAAGCGUCAGGAAUACUGACAAGUGCCCCAGUUCUGGUGAAGCUCAACUGUGUAAAACAUUUAUGGAGCUAAAAUUCCACAGCACUGAGCUAUUGGGUCCCAAAUAAUAGUGAAGAGAGAGGCAGAAACUCCCCCUGCUGCUGGGGCUGAACUGUCUGCAGUGACUGGGCAGGACUUGGCCCUGAUGCCUGAGUGCUCUCCAACCCCCCAGGCUCGAUCCCAGCUGUCAGCCCCUGGCUCCAUAACUUGAGAAGAGGGUGUUCCUGCCAGCCCAGCUGCUGUGUUGGUGGUCCUGGGGGCACCUCUUGCCCUGGCCUGCUGUGAAUGUGUUUGUGUUGCAGCUCAAUAAAGUCCCUUUCAGUGGUGA